CCUACGGGUGACAGCAGUGAGGAAUAUUGGUCAAUGGGCGCGAGCCUGAACCAUCCAAGUAGCGUGAAGGAUGAAUGCCCUACGGGUUGUAAACUUCUUUUAUAAAGGCAUAAAGUCAGGCACGUGUGCCUUUUUGUAUUUACUUUAUGAAUAAGGAUCGGCUAACUCCGUGCCAGCAGCCGCGGUAAUACGGAGGAUCCGAGCGUUAUCCGGAUUUAUUGGGUUUAAAGGGAGCGUAGAUGGGUGGUUAAGUCAGUUGUGAAAGUUUGCGGCUCAACCGUAAAAUUGCAAUUGAGACUGGCAGCCUUGAGUACAGUUGAGGUAGGCGGAAUUCGUGGUGUAGCGGGGAAAGGCUUAGAUAUCACGAAGAAAUCCGAUUGCGAAGGCAGCCUACUAAACUGCCACUGACAUUGAUGCUCGAAAGUGUGGGUAUCAAACAGGAUUAGAUACCCGUGUAGUC
rnacentral:rRNA from 1 species